rnacentral:rRNA from 1 species
AACGAACGCUGGCGGCGUGGAUUAGGCAUGCAAGUCGAGCGAGAAAGCUCCCUUCGGGGAGUGAGUAAAGCGGCGAACGGGUGAGUAACGCGUGGGAAAUCUGCCUUUAAGUGGGGGAUAACAGUCUUAACGGGCUGCUAAUACCGCAUGUGGCGUCUGGUCGCAUGUCCAGACGCUAAAGAUGGCCUCUACUUGUAAGCUGUCGCUUAUAGAUGAUCCCGCGUCCUAUUAGCUUGUUGGUAGGGUAACGGCCUACCAAGGCAACGAUGGGUAGCCGGCCUGAGAGGGUGGUCGGCCACACUGGGACUGAGAUACGGCCCAGACUCCUACGGGAGGCUG